rnacentral:rRNA from 1 species
GAUCAACGCUGGCGGCGUGCAUAACACAUGCAAGUCGAACGAUGAAGAUUAAAAGAUUUCUUCGGAAUGAACUUAAUUGGAUUAGUGGCGGACGGGUGAGUAACGCGUGAGUAACCUGCCUUGUACAAGGGGAUAGCCGUUGGAAACGACGAAUAAUACCCUAUGACAUCAAAUAAUCGCAUGAUAAUUUGAUCAAAGAUUUAUCGGUAUAAGAUGGACUCGCGUCUGAUUAGCUAGUUGGUAGAGUAAAAGCCUACCAAGGCAACGAUCAGUAGCCGGCUUGAGAGAGUGUACGGCCACAUUGGGACUGAGACACGGCCCAGACUCCUACGGGAGGCAGCAGUGGGGAAUUUUGCACAAUGGGGGAAACCCUGAUGCAGCGACGCCGCGUGAUUGAGAAGGCCUUCGGGUUGUAAAAAUCUUUUGUAUGGGAAGAAAAUGACAGUACCAUACGAAUAAGAACCGGCUAAUUACGUG